rnacentral:rRNA from 1 species
CAGUCGCCGCGGGAAUACGUAGGUGGCAAGCGUUGUCCGGAAUUAUUGGGCGUAAAGCGCGCGCAGGCGGUUUCUUAAGUCUGAUGUGAAAGCCCCCGGCCUAACCGGGGAGGGUCAUUGGAAACUGGGAGACUUAGAGUGCAGAAGAGGAGAGUGGAAUUCCAUGUGUAGCGGUGAAAUGCGUAGAUAUAUGGAGGAACACCAGUGGCGAAGGCGACUCUCUGGUCUGUAACUGACGCUGAGGCGCGAAAGCGUGGGGAGCAAACAGGAUUAGAUACCCGUGUAGUCCCUGUCUCUUAUA